UACAGAGGGUGCAAGCGUUACUCGGAAUUACUGGGCGUAAAGCGCAUGUAGGUGGAAUAAUAAGUUUGAUGUGAAAGCCCCAGGCUUAACCUGGGAACGGCGUUGAAGACUGUUAUUCUUGAGUUUGACAGAGGGUCGUGGAAUUUCCGGUGUAGCAGUGAAAUGCGUAGAUAUUGGGAGGAACACCAGUGGCGAAGGCGGCUCACUGGACCGGUACUGACGCUGAGGCGCGAAAGCGUGGGGAGCAAACAGG
rnacentral:rRNA from 1 species